UCCGUGCGCCACGAGGCGCUGGCGCGCGUCUCCCGGCCCAUCCACCCCGGGCCCGGCGACACCUUUCUUUGCCACCUGGAACCAACAUCUUGGUUCCCUUUUGAGGGAUCAGAACUUGUUUAAUUGGAAUACGGCAAAAUUCUGAAUUUUUCUGCCGUCUCUAUUCCAACUUCAGAGUUCUGCCGUCCAGCCCUGCGACAAUCUUCCGGUGCCAACGCGGCAGAUGGUGUCAGAAGCGGAGUCCAGAGUAGAGCUUCUAGGAACCUUCGGGAGUGCUGAGUGAACACGCAAGGUGCCUGCGGAACCCACUUGUGUCCAUUGACCUCUCCGAGUGGCCGGGGAUCGUGGAUGAAGCUUCACCAUGUUGCCCAGGCUUGUCUGGAACUCUUGAGCUCAAGUGAUCCUCUCACUUCGGCGUCCUGAAGUGCUGGGGUUAGAGAUGUGAGCCACCGCACCCAACAGACUCCAUUUUGGAUGCUCCCAUCGGAACUAUGUAUCCCUGUGCUGGAACUCAAGUGAACACUCAGCUCAAAGUCCAUUGCUGUUCUCUAGAAAUCCAGCCCAGUUCUCUUGGUUAAAUAUAAGAAGGCGGAGCCAGGUGUGCAGAGCGGAACGUGAAAGUGGACCAGGAGCGUGACCGCUGAAGCACAGCAUCACAGGGAGACGUUUAGGCCACCAGACGGCUGCGGGCGGGCUUGACUGAUGUCAGGCUUUCCACAAGAGGUGGUGGAGCAGAGUCUUCUCUAACUCCCCUGGAGAAAGGGAGACUCCCUCUCCGGGUUUGGGAAGAGACAAAACUCAGGAGGAUUGUGCUAUGAUAAACAAGGCUAACCUGCUGAUUCUCUGAAGCAAGGAACUGGAGAUGGUCCUUCUAAGGGUUUAUAUUCUGGAUUCCAGGAAACAUGCAAACAGGACCCAUAAAUGCAUCUUUAUUUUGGUGCCCAUUUUGACCUGGUCAGGAGAAUUCCAACAAAAAAUCCACGGUGUUGGAGCAAGAUCUCAGGCUCUCAGGCUGUGGCCAUCUAGAGAUUCCAUUUUGGAUGCUCCCAUCGGGACUGUGUGUCCCUGUGCUGGAACUCGAGUGAACACUUGGCUCAAAAUCCAUUGCUGUUCUCUAGAAAUCCUGCCCUAUUCUCUUGGUGAAAUAUAAGAUUCCAUUUUGGAUGCCCUCAUUGGGACUGUGUGUCCCUGUACUGGAACUCAAGUGAACACUUGGCUCAAAAUCCAUUGCUGUUCUCUAGAAAUCCAGCCUAAUUCUCUUGGUUAAAGAUUCCAUUUGGAUGCUCCCAUCCGGACUGUGUGCCCCUGUACUGGAACUCAAGUGAACACUUGGCUCAACAUCCAUUGCUGUUCUCAUGAAUUCCAGGCCAAUUGUCUUGGUUAAAGACAAGACGGUGUUUCCCUCUUGUUGCCCAGGCUGGAGUGCAAUGGCAUGAUCUCGGAUCACUGCAACCUCCACCUCCCUGGUUCAAGCGAUUCUCCUGCCUCAGCCUCCCGAGCAGCUGGGAUUACAGGCAUGCAUCACCACGCCCGGCUAAUUCUUUGUAUUUUUAGUAGAGAUGGGAUUUCUCCAUGUUGGUCAGGCUGAUCUUGAACUCCCAACCUUAGGUGAUCCACCCACCUCGGCCUCCCAAAGUGCUGGGAUUACAGGCAUGAGCCAUUGUGCCCGGCCCAUUUCAUUUAUUUUUAUGUGUGCUGCUGAAGCAAGCACUUAUGUGUAGGAAUUGUUCUUCCUGUGAGCAUAUGUUGGCCAGCCUGGACCACAUACCAAGAUCCCAUCUCUUUAAAAACACAGAUUACGUGGCACCUGGCACCUGGUCCCAGAGACUUCAUUUGGGUUGGUCAUUUGAAACACUAGCCUCCCAUCAAUUUAGUGUAAUCAAUCCAAAUCAUGUGUCCUUCAUUAAGAGACUAAGAACGCCUCCACGUCUAUCCAGUCUAUUUUGUAAUCCCCAACGGUUGUCAAUAUUAAUAAAAUUUCUUUUCUUUUUCCUA
rnacentral:lncRNA from 1 species